GAUACUUGUGAUGAUCUUUACCGCCCCAGUCUGAUAUUCAGUGACUGAUCGGUAUAUACUGAGUUUGU